rnacentral:tRNA from 1 species
UGGCUCAGUGGUAGAGCGCUUGCCUAGCAAGCACAAGGCCCUGGGUUCGGUUCCCAG